CUCUUUCGAUUCUUCCAUACUCAAGAGUACGCACGGUCUGAUUUUCUCUUUGGAUUCUUCCAAAAUCAGAGUCAGACUACUCCCUGUGCCAUGAACGGAGAUGACACCUUUGCAAGGAGACCCACGGUUGGUGCUCAAAUACCAGAGAAGAUACAAAAGGCCUUCGAUGAUAUUGCCAAAUACUUCUCUAAGGAAGAGUGGGAAAAGAUGAAAGUCUCGGAGAAAAUCGUCUAUGUGUAUAUGAAGAGAAAGUAUGAGGCCAUGACUAAACUAGGUUUCAAGGCCAUCCUCCCAUCUUUCAUGCGUAAUAAACGGGUCACAGACUUCCAGGGGAAUGAUUUUGAUAAUGACCCUAACCGUGGGAAUCAGGUUCAACGUCCUCAGAUGACUUUCGGCAGGCUCCAGGGAAUCUUCCCGAAGAUCAUGCCCAAGAAGCCAGCAGAGGAAGGAAAUGUUUCGAAGGAAGUGCCAGAAGCAUCUGGCCCACAAAACGAUGGGAAACAGCUGUGCCCCCCGGGAAAACCAACUACCUCUGAGAAGAUUAACAUGAUAUCUGGUGUCCUUCAGAGAUACUGCAGGUUCGGUUCCAGACCACUGCAAUAAAGAAAUAGGGAGGCCCAAGAAAAGGAAGAGAGACGCGGAACAGCUCAUCGGUGGAGCAGUCAGAAGACACAAAACAUUAAUCGAUUAAGUUUGUCAUAUUCUAUGGGUGCAGUUCCUGGUACCCCCAAAACAAUUACACACAACAGGGUGAUUAUAGUCAAUAAUAACUUAAUUGUACUUAAAAAAACUAAAAGAGCAUAAAUGGAUUGUUUGUAAGGCAAGGAUAAAUGCUUGAGGAUGGAUACCCUAUUUUCCAUGAUGUGAUUAUCAUGCAUUGCAUGCCUGUAUCAAAGCAUCUCAUGUACCCCAUAAGAAUAUACACCUACUGUGUACCCACAAAAUAAAGAACAAAAAUUAUUUUAAAACACUAAAAAACAACAAAAACAAUUUUAGUAAUAAUAGUAAAGCUCACUGAUCACAGAUCACUAUAACAGAUAUAAUAAUAAUGGAAAAGUGUAAAAUUGGUGAGAAUUUCCAAAAAAAAAAAUUGCAGCAUCUGCGAAGCAGUAUGAACAUGAAGUGCAACAAAACAAGGUAUGCCUGUGUGGCUUUAACAAAUACGUGCUGUAUGAAAUUAGGUAUGGGGGAAUGUUCCCGUAAGUGAAGAGGUUGGGAAUCUAAGCCUGAGAAGGGAAGGAGCCAGAAGCUAAAACUUUAAUUGGCAUUUGGCCUAUAUUGGUGUGGGUCUAAGGUCUCAGCCUCUCUAAGCCAGAGAAUGUGAAAAACUGGAUAAAGAAGGCCCAUGGGCACUUGGGAGGAAGCAGGCAUCUCCUUUUUUUGAGUAAACAGAGCCUAACACUCUCCAACCUACCCAACCCUCACUUUCCAACUAUUCUCCAUCAUAGGACCCAAAAGGGGGGAACAUGCCUGGACCCACAGACUGCGUGAGAGAAAGCAGCUGGUGAUUUAUGAAGAGAUCAGCGAUCCUGAGGAAGAUGAUGAGUAACUCCCCUUGGGGAUAUGACACAUGCCCAUGAUGAGAAGCAGAACGUGGUGACCUUUCACGAACAUGGGCAUGGCUGUGGACCCCUCGUCAUCAGGUGCAUAGCAAGUGAAAGCAAGUGUUCACAACAGUGAAAAGUUGAGCGUCAUUUUUCUUAGUGUGCCAAGAGUACGAUAUUAGCGUUUCCAUUGUAUUUUCUUGAAGUGUGUCAUUCUGUUAGAUAUUAACAUUUUCACUGAUGAGCAAGACAUACUUAAUGCAUAUUUUGGUUUGUGUAUCCAUGCACCUACCUUAGAAAACAAGUAUUGUCAGUUACCUCUGCAUGGAACAGCAUUACCCUCCUCUCUCCCUAGAUGUGACUACUGAGGGCAGUUCUGAGUGUUUAAUUUCAGAUUUUUUCCUCUGCAUUUACACACACACACAAACCACACCACACACACACACACACACACACAGACACACACCAAGUACCAGUAUAAGCAUCUCCCAUCUGCUUUUCCCAUUGCCAUGCGUCCUGGUCAGGCUUCCCUCACUCUGUUUCCUGGUCAGCAUGUACUCCCCUCAUCCGAUUCCCCUGUAGCAGUCACUGACAGUAAAUAAACCUUUGCAAACGUUC